rnacentral:rRNA from 1 species
UUCGCCCUUAGAGUUUGAUCCUGGCUCAGGACGAACGCUGGCGGCGCGCCUAACACAUGCAAGUCGAACGGAGCUGAGAGGAGCUUGCUUUUCUCAGCUUAGUGGCGAACGGGUGAGUAACGCGUGAGUAACCUGCCCUGGAGUGGGGGACAACAGUUGGAAACGACUGCUAAUACCGCAUAAGCCCACGAUCCGGCAUCGGAUUGAGGGAAAAGGAUUUAUUCGCUUCAGGAUGGACUCGCGUCCAAUUAGCUAGUUGGUGAGGUAACGGCCCACCAAGGCGACGAUUGGUAGCCGGACUGAGAGGUUGAACGGCCACAUUGGGACUGAGACACGGCCCAGACUCCUACGGGAGGCAGCAGUGGGGGAUAUUGCACAAUGGGGGAAACCCUGAUGCAGCGACGCCGCGUGGAGGAAGAAGGUUUUCGGAUUGUAAACUCCUGUCGUUAGGGACGAUAAUGACGGUACCUAACAAGAAAGCACCGGCUAACUACGUGCCAGCAGCCGCGGUAAAACGUAGGGUGCAAGCGUUGUCCGGAAUUACUGGGUGUAAAGGGAGCGCAGGCGGACCGGCAAGUUGGAAGUGAAAACUAUGGGCUCAACCCAUAAAUUGCUUUCAAAACUGCUGGCCUUGAGUAGUGCAGAGGUAGAUGGAAUUCCCGGUGUAGCGGUGGAAUGCGUAGAUAUCGGGAGGAACACCAGUGGCGAAAGCGGCCUACUGGGCACCAACUGACGCUGAGGCUCGAAAGCAUGGGUAGCAAACAGGAUUAGAUACCCUGGUAGUCCAUGCCGUAAACGAUGAUUACUAGGUGUUGGGGGAUUGACCCCCUCAGUGCCGCAGUUAACACAAUAAGUAAUCCACCUGGGGAGUACGACCGCAAGGUUGAAACUCAAAGGAAUUGACGGGGGCCCGCACAAGCAGUGGAGUAUGUGGUUUAAUUCGAAGCAACGCGAAGAACCUUACCAGGUCUUGACAUCCGAUGCAUAGCACAGAGAUGUGUGAAAUCCUUCGGGACAUCGAGACAGGUGGUGCAUGGUUGUCGUCAGCUCGUGUCGUGAGAUGUUGGGUUAAGUCCCGCAACGAGCGCAACCCUUAUUGCCAGUUACUACGUUAAGAGGAUUCUGGCGAGACUGCCGUCGACAAAACGGAGGAAGGUGGGGAUGACGUCAAAUCAUCAUGCCCUUUAUGACCUGGGCUACACACGUACUACAAUGGCGUUAAACAAAGAGAAGCAAGACCGCGAGGUGGAGCAAAACUCAAAAACAACGUCUCAGUUCAGAUUGCAGGCUGCAACUCGCCUGCAUGAAGUCGGAAUUGCUAGUAAUCGCGGAUCAGCAUGCCGCGGUGAAUACGUUCCCGGGCCUUGUACACACCGCCCGUCA